rnacentral:rRNA from 1 species
AUUGAACGCUGGCGGCAUGCCUUACACAUGCAAGUCGAACGGUAACAGGUCUUCGGAUGCUGACGAGUGGCGAACGGGUGAGUAAUACAUCGGAACGUGCCUAGUAGUGGGGGAUAACUACUCGAAAGAGUGGCUAAUACCGCAUGAGAUCUACGGAUGAAAGCAGGGGAUCGCAAGAACUUGUGCUACUAGAGCGGCCGAUGGCAGGUUAGGGAGUUGGUGGGAUAAAAGCUUACCAAGCCGACGAUCUGUAGCUGGUCUGAGAGGACGAUGACCCACACUGGGACUGAGACACGGCCCAGACGGCUACGGGAGGUAGCAGUGGGGAAUUUUGGACAAUGGGCGCCAGCCUGAUACAGCAAUGCCGCGUGCAGGAUGAAGGCCUUCGGGUUGUAAACUGCUUUUGUACGGAACGAGAAGCCCCGGGUUAAUACCCUGGGGUCAUGACGGUACCGUAAGAAUAAGCACCGGCUAACUACGUGCCAGCCGCCGCUGUAA